ensembl:lncRNA
UUUUACACCAAAAUUGCCUUAUAACCAAUCUGUUCUAUGGUAAAAAUGUUUUUUUGGUUUUUUUUUUUUUGGUUUUUUUUGGUGAAUAUUUGCAAUGAAGACAUCUACAGAAAUGAGGCUUACCAUGGAAGUAUCUAGAACCCCCUGAAUCCAUGCUCCAGUAAGAUGACUUUAACACAGCUCUGUAUGAAAGUUUAUUAAUUUUAUCAGUGGUAUUUUGAAGUAGUUGCCAUUGUCCUAUUUAGUGGAUGUAAAAAAAAAAAAAAAAAAUGAAGCUCAGAUGAAGUAAUUUACCUGCCCAAAGGCACGCAGUAAUCAAGAAUAAGUGUAAGAUUAGAACAGAAGUCAGUCAAUAGCAAAGCUCAUUUAUGGGAGUUCCCGUCUUGGCGCAGUGGUUAACGAAUCUGACUAGGGACCAUAAGGUUUCUGGUUCAAUCCCUGGCCCCGCUCAGUGGGUUAAGGAUCUGGUGUUGCCGUGAGCUGUGGUGUAGGUCACAGACCCAGCUCAGAUCUGGCGUUGCUGUGGCUGUGGCGUAGCCCGGCAGGUACAACUCCAAUUGGACCCCUAGCCUGGGAACCUCCAUAUGCCGUGGAUGCAGCCCCAGAAAAGACAAAAAAAAAAAAAAAAGAAAAGAAAAGCUCGUUUAUGCUUUCUGCCACACCCAGAUUUUCAGGGACUCAUAAGGUGUGUGAUGAAACUUUGCCACUUAUGUGGAAUUCUCAGGACGCAGACUGGCCACCAAUGUGUACAUUUCAAUUAUGUAAGUCAUGGGAGGUUAGUCCUCAACUAGCCCAGUCUGGGCAUAAGAGAGGUCAGAACUUCAAAUUUCUACCAAAGAAAAUAGCCCAAAUUGAUGGAUAAUAGAUUAAGAGGUAAAGCAGUCAAACAGCCAGCCAUAUGUCCCCACGUAAUAGCUUAGACCUGGCUUCCAGGAAACUGCAAAUCCCUAGCUCUUGAAAGGAGAAUGAAACAAAAGAUACCAAUAAGCUCGGAGCUUGACUGUUGAAUCUAGAGAUCAUUUAUAAAUCUGCCACAUGUGGUAAGUCGGACCGUAAAGGCCCUGUGUGGGGAAGAGUUGGGACUUUUCAUUGAAAUGCAUGGGCACCCGUUUUCCACAUCGCUCACAGCCCUUUGCGUACAGCUGUCUUCCUCACACUCUCCAACCUAGUCAUUAAUAACUACAAUUUGAGUCUAUCUUAUGCUAGGCAAUGGACAUUUUCUGACUUGUUCCUGAUACCCACCCAGUGAAUUUAUCAAAGGGAAGGUUGGAUCAUUGCUCUAGGCUAUAUCGCUCUACGUGCUGGAACCAGAAUUCCAACCCAGCCCCAUCCUCUCAUUCUGCCUUUCACCCUCUCAGGGAGGAGAAAAGCCAGCACAGGAACACAGACGUUGUCUCAGGCUAAUGGCCGAAAUGUUCUCCACAUCUUCACAACCACCAUUUGAUGCUCAUCCCGCUGUUCUCCAUCCUCUGGCUUUGGACAUCUGUUCUUAGUCCUUGAAUUUGACGGUUCCCUAGGUUUUCCUUAUAGGCUUGCCACUUGCAUCUGCUUUUGACACAUUCUCUGAUGUCAUCAUCUACUCUGCAAAACUGUCUGUAUUGGACUCAAGUCCACAGAACUGGGUGUCUAUGCCUUCAUAAACACUUCUUUCAAAGGGAGAGAAAUCUAGAUGCUGUAUAAAGAUGCUAAUAAGCUAGUGAUGACACUGAAGAUUAAUUUAAGAAAUACUUUUGGUUGAGCAUGGAAAAUGGAUUAUAGGGGGCAAAUGUGAAUACAGAGAGGCCAGUUAAAUGACUGCUGCUGUAAUGCAAAUUAGGAAAUGGUCUUAGCUUGUACCAGCACAGUUCCAGCAGAGGGUCAUGAUAAAGAGCACAGACUCUGGAGCCGACUGCCCAGGUCUGAAUUUGCCAUUCUCUAACUAUGCGGUCUUGGGCGAGUUGUCUAACCUCGCUGCAUCUCACUUAAAAAUGAAUUUAAUUAUAAUAACAAUGACACUUGCCUCCUAUGGUUAAGAAUAUUAAGUGAUUUAACAUCUGUAAAACCGACCGGCACAGAGUAAGUGCCAUGAAGUUGUUAGCUGUUAUUGAAGGCAGUGAAAAUGAGUCAAGAUGAAGGAGCUAAGAUGAAAGAAGUACAACAUGUCAUUGAGUUGAUUGGCUAUGGGAGAAGAGUGAUUCCUGAGUUUUGGUUUGGAAGCAUUGCUUUCUGAGGUUUCAGUCCCCAAAAAUGCAAUUUUGAAAGGAGGAAGGAUUGUGAUAGGAAUCUCCUGGGUUGGGAGAUGGUGGAGGUGUGUGAUUACUCAGGGGUUAGCAAGCAGAGUCACAGUUAUGGUACUCACAGGUUAAUACAAGUCCAAGAUCCAAGAGAAAGAAAAAAAUUUUUUUUUCUCAUAGUCGAAACCAUGCAUGUUAAAUCUAAGAAUUCCCUGUAUUUAUUGUAUCAUUUUCAUCUUCCUACUGAGUAAACUGAGAUUCAGAGAAAUGACUUCUCAAGUCAAAGCUGCUAGAAAGAAAAGGCACAUGUAUUUCCCUGGUUUUAGAACCCGCGCUGUUUGAUGGUGGCCCGCUGCCCCAGGGCCACCCAAUGACACCAGGUCCCAGAUGAAGGGCCUGGAGGCGGUGGGGCUGCGAGCUGAUGAAGGAUGAUAAUGCGCAUAGUUCAGUGUGCCUUUUAAGGGGUAAUGCCUGAAGGACUCAUUUGAUUUUGUAGUACUUGAGGCAUUUGAUUAUUUGUUUUGUUCUUACUCUAACGCAGUAUAACUAAAUUUAUCAGAUAAUGCUUAUUAGAACUAUUCAGUCUUCAGAGUGGUUAAUACCAUCUGCUCUUUGGGCGUCUUUUGCUGUUUCUUAUCUCUGUGGUAUUUUAAGUUAAAAAUCAAGUAAGUCAGAUUGCAUCGCCUUGAGUAUGCAAUGGAGAUUUAGAAAAGUCGGCGUUGACUCUAUUCAGGGAAAUUGAACUGCUUGUUAUUAAGAAUCCAUAACACUAAGUUAUGCCAAAAAUACAAAACAUCAUCAAGGUGAGGUAAAUUCCAAGUACUUAGUAGUGAGCAAGUGUAAUUCCUUUUCAGUGUGAAACGGUGUUUUAUUAAUUAACCAUAAUCCUCUAGAUAAUCACUGCUCUAUCUCUUUCACGAUGUUUCCAUCUUAAAACAUCUGUCUUCCGUAUUGUAAAAAUAGAUGAUACCAUUCCUUUCUUCAUUCAUAGAGCACCCACUGUGUUCUAGGCACUAAUCUGGAUGUCGAGAUGCAAUCGUGAAUGAAAUCAGGUCCCAGCUCUCGGUAGCUUUGAUUCUAAUCAGGACGCAAAUAACAAAUAACUGAAUAAACGAAUAUUAUAAUGACAUUAUAUUUCUAUGUAUGAGUUUUAGUGAGACCCCGCAAUAACCUCCCACCUUCCUGCAUCAAAUACUGAAAUCAGGUCUCUCUCAAAGUAGUCCAAGGUGCCUGGUGGAUGAGCUCAAUACCUGUUCACAUUAAGGGAUCAGCACUCUUCUAGGUAUCUGCUCCACCAUCUCCUGUGGCCUUUCUGUGGUCAAGCUGGGUCACCAUUAUGUCCAGGGGUCAACUAGCAGGAAGGUCUUUAGACGUCUGCCACUCUCCUGUACAUUCUGUUGGCGAGAACUUCAACACCAAGGGAAGCAGAGAAGUAUGUAUCUAGGCGACCAUGUGGUCAUCAGCUUUAAUUCUACUACUCUUGCAAAGACAGGAAAGAGGAUUUUGAUAAAUUACCAAUAGUCUCUGCAUAAUCCUGUGCCUUUAUUCAUCUUCAUAGAGGAGGUAUAUAUGGUAAAUUUUCAUGAGUGUUUCUCCCCACGCCAUGAUUAACUAUACACCUGGGGCAUAUAUUUAGUUACCACUAUUUUUAUUAUUAUGAACAAAAGAACAACUGAUAGAAUUAUUUUUUAGAUUAUCUCCUUAAGAUAUACCCCUCGAAAUAUAAUUACUGAUCACAUUUGACAAAUUUUAUUAUUUUUUGUAAAUACCUUUUCAAAACAAUUAUAGCCAUGUUUCAUUUACUUCACAGAAUUUUACAUUCUUACUGGAAGUAAAUAUGAACAUUUUUAUUGCAUAAUAUGAGGGAGAAAAACACUCUCUCACUAUUUUAAUGUGCAUUUCUUUGAUUGUUGGUAAAACCUAUGCCCUCCCCCAUUGUUUUUAGCUAAUUACAUUUCUUUCAUUUACCCCUUAGAAUAUUUGUAUCGAAUUGAAUAUGUUUUUAUACAUAAGGAUUAGUCUUUUGUCCUAUUUGUUACCAGUAUGUGUUUUUCUUAAGUACUUGUAAAUAUUGUUAUUAGAUGACACUAGCCAUUGGUAUAUCGGUUGUAUAAAAUUACGCCCCAGUAAUCACCCUUACUGGGUGGCCUCUCUGGUUGGCGGUAUUCAGCAGUCAUGUCCUGUAUUGCUUACUCUUUCAGGCACAUAACUCAACACAAGCCUGAGUAACUUUGUGUUAUCUGUUCUAUUUAGUGAGACCGAGUCAUGGUUUGGGGAAGUGUUACAGAGUCCUAGGAAAAGAUGCCUCCUGCUUCUACAUUUCCUUCAGACAUAAGCUCAGGUGUGGAAUUUGGGGUGCUGUCGGUCCAUCAUACUCAUCUUGUCCUUUGAGAGGAGUUUGAAAGAGGAAGGUGCAAAGCCCUGUGAGAGCUCUUCUCACUGUUUUGCUUUCUCCUCACGGUCAGUUAUCACACUCUCACCAAAGUGCCCGGCCCGGCACUUUCUCGAACAACUUUCUUUCAGUGCAUCGUAUCCCUUAAGGAAGGGUUCUUAAAGGAGUCGUAUAUUUUCUUAAGUUCAGACUCAAUAUUUAACUGUGACAUACAGGAAAUUCGAACUCUCAAAAAUAUAUAAUCGCAUUUUUUGUAGGAACAUGUAUGAUUCUAAAUAUAUCAGUGUUUGUUUACUAAAUUAUAUUGUGAGAACGAACAACCCUAAAUCAAAGCAGUUUACGAACUCUUUGGGGGGAAAAAAAAGUGUUUUUUUUUAAGUUAGAAAGCAACAUAAAAACAAUGUACGAAUAAAAACUCCCUUUCGAUAAGACCUACGCUGAUCACCCCAUUUGAAAAUGAAACCCUGCUGCCCUCUCUAACCCCUGCUUUUUACUUUCGUCUCAUUAUAUGAUUUUCUUCUAACAUACUUCAUUACCUACUUUUUCGUUGUCUGUCUCUUUCUGGUAGAAUAUGCUCCAUGGGGGCAAGAUUUUUGUCUGCUUGGUUCACUCAUGCACCUGCCUCCUCCCCGCCCCCCGUAUCUGGACAGUCCCUGGCAUACAGUACGUACUUUACAAAAAUCGUUAAAUGAAUGGGAAAACUUUUCAGUGGCUUACAGCAACAAAAUUUUUCCAAGUUCAAGGAUUAGAGGCAUCUUUGCUUCAUGAUCCUUUCAUUCUCAGACCUAGCUGACAAGGUAGCCAUACCCUUGGAAAGACUGGCUUCAUUGCAGUGAGAAAAAUGGAUGACGGAACUCAGGACCAAUUUUACACCUUUGGCUGGAAACACAGGCCACUUCUAUCAACAUUCCCUUGGGCAAGGCAAUUAGCCUGGCCAGACCGUGUCUCAGUGGGACAGGGAUGUGCCAUCCUCUUGCAGAGAUGGGCAGUGGGUACCUGUGGGUUGUACAGUCUACCACACGAGUGUUCUCCUCAUUUGCCUUCCUUGUAACAUGUAUGAAGAAGUCAUAUGAAAGCAGGGAAAAAUCUCAACAGUGUACUGAUGUUCUCUUGAAAGACUACAGUGCCAAAGGAAGUGCUAAUGGAUUCUAAUCUGCAGUUUGGGGGUAACUAGGUGAGAAUGAUUGCUCUACAAGAGAUCCCAGUAAGAAGUAAAUUUGAGUUCUUCUAACUUCACGCUCCCAGGUGCUCUCUCUCCUUUUCUCUCUUGUUGUUAUAAGACAUUCCAUCCAAAGGCAAUCACUUUUUGAAGGUGCAAUAACUAUAAUAUUGCCUUCUUUAGAUACGAAGCGGAAUUCUCAAUGCAAUAUUCAAAAUGAGAAUUAGUUAUACAUGUAACCAUUCUAUGAG